GCCCAGGUGGCGAAAUUGGUAGACGCACCAUCUUGAGGGGGUGGCGCCUGAAUAGGCGUGGCAGUUCGAAUCUGCUCCUGGGCACAA
rnacentral:tRNA from 1 species